rnacentral:rRNA from 1 species
UACGUAGGGGGCUAGCGUUGUCCGGAUUUAUUGGGCGUAAAGAGCGUGUAGGCGGCCAGAUAGGUCCGUUGUGAAAACUGGAGGCUUAACCUCCAGCUGUCGAUGGAAACCAUCUGGCUAGAGUCCGGAAGAGGGGAGUGGAAUUCCUGGUGUAGCGGUGAAAUGCGCAGAUAUCAGGAAGAACACCCGUGGCGAAGGCGGCUCUCUGGGACGGUACUGACGCUGAGGUGCGAAAGCGUGGGGAGCAAACAGG